rnacentral:lncRNA from 1 species
GAGUAAAGUCGUUCAUGGCCAGAAGAAGUCUGGAAGAGAUUCGGAGAAUAGUCGAUCACUGUAGAGAAUCGGCUGAUAGUGAAGUUCAGAGAGCAUUUGGGGCAGUCCGAUAGAUGAAUGGAGGAGCUCAUUAUUGGAGGAGUCCGGAUGGUAUUGUAGAAGCUCAGACGGUCGGAGGAGUUCAGAGAGAGACACCGCA